CCUACGAGUGGCAGCAGUGAGGAAUAUUGGUCAAUGGACGAGAGUCUGAACCAGCCAAGUAGCGUGAAGGAUGACUGCCCUAUGGGUUGUAAACCUCUUUUAUAAGGGAAUAAAACGAGGCACGUGUGCCUUUCUGCAUGUACUUGAUGAAAAAGGAUCGGCUAACUCCGUGCCAGCAGCCGCGGUAAUACGGAGGAUCCGAGCGUUAUCCGGAUUUAUUGGGUUUAAAGGGAGCGUAGAUGGGUUGUUAAGUCAGUUGUGAAAGUUUGCGGCUCAACCGUAAAAUUGCAAUUGAUACUGGCAGUCUUGAGUACAGUUGAGGUAGGCGGAAUUCGUGGUGUAGCGGUGAAAUGCUUAGAUAUCACGAAGAACCCCGAUUGCGAAGGCAGCUUACUAAACUGUGACUGACAUUGAUGCUCGAAAGUGUGGGUAUCAAACAGGAUUAGAUACCCCAGUAGUC
rnacentral:rRNA from 1 species